CCCAAUGUGAACGUUACCAAACUGUUGCCUCGGCGGGGUCACGCCCCGGGUGCGUCGCAGCCCCGGAACCAGGCGCCCGCCGGAGGAACCAACCAAACUCUUUCUGUAGUCCCCUCGCGGACGUAUUUCUUACAGCUCUGAGCAAAAAUUCAAAAUGAAUCAAAACUUUCAACAACGGAUCUCUUGGUUCUGGCAUCGAUGAAGAACGCAGCGAAAUGCGAUAAGUAAUGUGAAUUGCAGAAUUCAGUGAAUCAUCGAAUCUUUGAACGCACAUUGCGCCCGCCAGUAUUCUGGCGGGCAUGCCUGUCCGAGCGUCAUUUCAACCCUCGAACCCCUCCGGGGGAUCGGCGUUGGGGAUCGGGACCCCUCACACGGGUGCCGGCCCCGAAAUACAGUGGCGGUCUCGCCGCAGCCUCUCCUGCGCAGUAGUUUGCACAACUCGCACCGGGAGCGCGGCGCGUCCACGUCCGUAAAACACCCAACUUUCUGAAAUGUUGACCUCGGAUCAGGUAGGAAUACCCGCUGAACUUAAGCAUAUCAAUAAGGCGGAGGA
rnacentral:rRNA from 1 species